UUAAAAAGAUAGAUAAGAGCUAUGUUCUGUUUUAAUCAGCCUGUCGGAUAUUGUAACUAUUAAAAUCUCUUCAAGAAUAAUAAUCAUAACUUAGCAAUUUUACGACUUUGGCGGAUUUCUCGAUCACGUUAAAUUCAGAAUUCUUUUUCAACAAUAACUCAACUGUUAUUUUCGGAAAAAUAAUCAUUAAACGCUCUGUUAAACAGUCAUAAAUAAAGGAAGAUACCAAAAAAAUAGAACAAAAAGAUGCGGAGUUUUAUGAUGCAGUGAAAUAUUAACUCUCAAGGAAAAUAUAUUUUGGAGUACAAUAAAUAUUACAUAAAGACUUUAUAGUCGGCUGAAGAUAAAUACAAGUUCAAGAGUGAAAGGUGAAAGCCUUUCUGGACACCCGAAAUGAUUGCGUGUCAGCGGAAGACAUUUAGGAAAGAAAUUAACACAGCUGAGAGCUAAUACGGAACACAGACACUUUUGAAUACAAGUGUGAUGACCAACUUGAAAUAUUUACCUGGAGUAAAUCUAAAUAAAAAAACAGUAUAACUUAAAUUUUCCAAUUCAAGACAUCAUUACAAGGGACAGUGUGCAGCCAUUUGUCUGGAAUUGGUUGGCCGGAUCUGCAAUUGUUAUCUUUGCCAUUAAGAGUAAAUUUAAGAAAUACUUCGUAUUACACGCUGAGUCAAAAUAUUGUUUCACAACACAUAAAUCAGUGUGUGCUUUGAAAAGCUUAAGUGUCAUUAUGAACAAAGAUAAUAUGUCAUAAGUUUCUUGCAUCCUUCUCUAUGUGCGGGGUGUGAUGUGCUUGCUUAUACGAGUAUAAAAUACCUGCCUGCCAAUAAAAAGAUUAUAAGAACAAGUUGCUCUUUGAGUGUCGUAGAACGAAACAGAAAAAUAAGUUGUAACAAGUUUUCAGUACUCGGGGUGGUAAUGAAACUUAUUUAUCAGUCUUUAUUUCGAAUGUUAACCAACUGAACACUUUCUGAUUGACAUGUGCACGUGAAACGGAUUGACAGGCCCAUGCAAAACGAGUAAAUAUUGUUACUAGAGUCUUCAGAUCUUGAGAAAAAAAUCUUACAUUCUUCUAUCCCCAUUCCAAAGAGAAAAACACAGAUAUUAUGAUUUAUAUACCGUGUGAUGUCUGUAUUUAUGUGUUUUUUUUAUAAUUUGGGCUAUAAUCACCUGGUCUACACAGAACUGAUCUUCUCACUGAAAAGAUAUUAGAAUUAGACACUUCUUAUAAUGUCGUAAAAGAUUAAAGACAUGAGUAUCCGGAAAUAUAUCUUAUCAUAAAGGUGUGUAAACGAACAUUUAUGAUUUUGAUUUGGCGAUUCUGUUUUGUUUGAUAUAAACAUCGAAAGAAAAGGGAAAAUGUAAAAAGUAUAAAGUGAUAUGUUAAGAGUGUGUUUGCCCAGGUGUUUAUCCUUAAAAACAAAGUAUAAAGGUUUUUUAUGAAAUGUACUUGUUUACUGAACAUUGCUAUAUUGAUUACAAAUAAAAUCCCAACCAUGAUUUUC